GAUGAACGCUGGCGGUGUGCUUAAUGCAUGCAAGUCGAACGGUCCUUCGGGACAGUGGCGAACGGGUGAGUAACGCGUAAGUAACCUGCCCCUAAGUGGGGGAUAACUUCGGGAAACUGGAGCUAAUACCGCAUGUGGUCCUUCUGCAAAAGCGGAAGGAUUAAAGCCUUCGGGUGCUUGGGGAGUGGCUUGCGUCCGAUUAGCUUGUUGGUGAGGUAACGGCCCACCAAGGCAAUGAUCGGUAGCUGGUCUGAGAGGAUGGCCAGCCACACUGGGACUGAGACACGGCCCAGACUCCUACGGGAGGCAGCAGCAAGGAAUAUUGUGCAAUGGGCGAAAGCCUGACACAGCGACACCGCGUGGGGGAUGAAGGCCUUCGGGUUGUAAACUCCUUUUCUCAGGGAAGAACAAUGACGUACCUGAGAAUAAGUCUCGCUAACU
rnacentral:rRNA from 1 species